AUACGGAGGGUGCGAGCGUUAAUCGGAAUUACUGGGCGUAAAGCGCGCGUAGGCGGCUAAUUAAGUCAGAUGUGAAAGCCCUGGGCUCAACCUAGGAGGUGCGUUUGAUACUGCCGUGCUGGAGUCCGGGAGGGGAUGGCGGAAUUCCCAGUGUAGAGGUGAAAUUCGUAGAUAUUGGGAAGAACACCAGUGGCGAAGGCGGCUACCUGGACCGGUACUGACGCUGAGGUGCGAGAGCGUGGGGAGCAAACUGGAUUAGAUACCCCAGUAGUCC
rnacentral:rRNA from 1 species